rnacentral:snRNA from 1 species
AUCACUUCCCAGCCUUUUGGCUAAGAUCAAGUAUAGUAUCUGUUCUAAUCCGUUUAAUAAAAUGUUUCUUACGUCCCAAAAGUCUGAAAGCCAUCUUACAGUCACUGUCUGUGCAGGGUGGGAGAACGCAUUUGAAAGAGAAAGACCCAAA